rfam:Chitinophaga niabensis strain DSM 24787 genome assembly, contig: Ga0070009_11
GGAAGAUUGCCAGAGUUGGUAAUGGCGCAGUCUUGAAAACUGACGGCGGUGAAAACCGGCAAAGGUUCGAAUCCUUUAUCUUCCU